rnacentral:rRNA from 1 species
AACGUAGGGGGCGAGCGUUAUCCGGAAUCACUGGGCGUAAAGGGCGUCUAGGCGGUCCAGUAAGUCCUGCGUGAAAGCUCCCGGCUCAACUGGGAGGGCGCGUGGGAGACUGUUGGGCUAGAGACUCGGAGAGGGGUGUGGAAUUCCCGGUGGAGUGGUGAAAUGCGUUGAGAUCGGGAGGAACACCAGUGGCGAAGGCGGCACCCUGGCCGAGUUCUGACGCUGAAGCGCGACAGCGUGGGGAGCAAACGGG